AUUGAACGCUGGCGGCAGGCCUAACACAUGCAAGUCGAGCGAGCGGCGGACGGGUGAGUAAUGUAUGGGGACUGCCCGAUAGAGGGGGAUCACUACUGGAAACGGUGGCUAAUACCGCAUACUAUCGGAUAACCCAUAUGGGAUUAGCUAGUAGGUGGGGUAAAGGCUCACCUAGGCGACGAUAUCUAGCUGGUCUGAGAGGAUGAUAAGCCAGACUGGGACGUAGACACGGCCAAGACUCCUUCGGAGGCAGCAGUGGGGAAGAUUGCACAAUGGGCGCAAGCCUGAGGUAGCCGUGCCGCGUGUAGGAAGAAGGCCUGAGGGUUGUAAAGUACUUUCAGCGGGGAGGCGUUACCCGCAGAAGAAGCACCGGCUAACUCCGUGCCAGCAGCCGCGGUAAUUC
rnacentral:rRNA from 1 species